rnacentral:rRNA from 1 species
AAUGGGUCAGCGACUUAUAUUCUGUAGCAAGGUUAACCGAAUAGGGGAGCCGAAGGGAAACCGAGUCUUAACUGGGCGUUAAGUUGCAGGGUAUAGACCCGAAACCCGGUGAUCUAGCCAUGGGCAGGUUGAAGGUUGGGUAACACUAACUGGAGGACCGAACCGACUAAUGUUGAAAAAUUAGCGGAUGACUUGUGGCUGGGGGUGAAAGGCCAAUCAAACCGGGAGAUAGCUGGUUCUCCCCGAAAGCUAUUUAGGUAGCGCCUCGUGAAUUCAUCUCCGGGGGUAGAGCACUGUUUCGGCAAGGGGGUCAUCCCGACUUACCAACCCGAUGCAAACUGCGAAUACCGGAGAAUGUUAUCACGGGAGACACACGGCGGGUGCUAACGUCCGUCGUGAAGAGGGAAACAACCCAGACCGCCAGCUAAGGUCCCAAAGUCAUGGUUAAGUGGGAAACGAUGUGGGAAGGCCCAGACAGCCAGGAUGUUGGCUUAGAAGCAGCCAUCAUUUAAAGAAAGCGUAAUAGCUCACUGGUCGAGUCGGCCUGCGCGGAAGAUGUAACGGGGCUAAACCAUGCACCGAAGCUGCGGCAGCGACACUGUGUGUUGUUGGGUAGGGGAGCGUUCUGUAAGCCUGUGAAGGUGUGCUGUGAGGCAUGCUGGAGGUAUCAGAAGUGCGAAUGCUGACAUAAGUAACGAUAAAGCGGGUGAAAAGCCCGCUCGCCGGAAGACCAAGGGUUCCUGUCCAACGUUAAUCGGGGCAGGGUGAGUCGACCCCUAAGGCGAGGCCGAAAGGCGUAGUCGAUGGGAAACAGGUUAAUAUUCCUGUACUUGGUGUU